ensembl:lncRNA
GCGGCAUUCAGUGCACAGACAGCAGGACGUCACAUGUAGUGUUGCAGGAGACCAGAACAAGGCCAUUCAUAAAGCACAUGAAAGGGAUUACGAGCGGCUUUACAAUCAAUGCUUAAUAAAACCAGAUUAGCGGAAACGUCGAGCGCGGAUCCAUUUCAGCCGAAGGUUCCGCUCUCUGGAAGCCGUCCAAUCCCCCGUCAGUCUGACUAAGCUGCAGAGGGUUAGAUUGGAGUGGGGAUGUGCUCACCAGCUGUGAGAUUAGGGGGAACUGAUCGAUGGCCUCUGUGAUUGGCCCUCGCCGGCGUCACAGCGGCAUCCAAUCCCCUUGGUUCGGAUGGUUUUCCUCGACCCAGCCAAAACCAAUUCUCCCUCCGCCAAGGGGAGGGGGGGCGAAUAAGAUCACUGACCUGAAGCUGCGAGGCCACGCUUGCAGGUUCUGUCCCCCUCCUUCCUCUGACCAGAAA